AUACGUAGGGUGCGAGCGUUAAUCGGAAUUACUGGGCGUAAAGCGUGCGCAGGCGGUUUUGUAAGACAGUGGUGAAAUCCCCGGGCUCAACCUGGGAACUGCCAUUGUGACUGCAAGGCUGGAGUGCGGCAGAGGGGGAUGGAAUUCCGCGUGUAGCAGUGAAAUGCGUAGAUAUGCGGAGGAACACCGAUGGCGAAGGCAAUCCCCUGGGCCUGCACUGACGCUCAUGCACGAAAGCGUGGGGAGCAAACAGGAUUAGAUACCCUGGUAGUCCACGCCCUAAACGAUGUCAACUGGUUGUUGGGGAUUUAUUUUCUCAGUAACGAAGCUAACGCGUGAAGUUGACCGCCUGGGGAGUACGGCCGCAAGGUUAAGACUCAAAUGAAUUGACGGGG
rnacentral:rRNA from 1 species